UUUCGAACAUCGAUUUUCAAUUCCUCAUCAUAAACCUUCAAUAUCCUGGUUCUUUCUUCUAUGUUGAUUAUGCACCUUCCCGUCUCCAAAAAGGGUAUACCAAGAAUGGGAGGGAUCUCUUCAUCUUAUGGAAUUUCUAGAAUUACAAAAUCAACCGGAAAUACAAACUUGUCAAUUUUCACCAGAACAUCUUUAACAAUACCAUACGGUUUCUUGACCGAAUGAUUGGAGAAUUGGAGUGUCAUCC
rnacentral:lncRNA from 1 species